rnacentral:rRNA from 1 species
AUGACAUCUACGCAACGCAGUGAGAGCACAAACAGAAUUGCGAAAAGAAACCACAUUGACCCUACGACACCUCUGCACUUGUUUGCAAGAAAAAUGUUUCAGGUUUUGCAAGGGAGAAAAGAAGCAGAAGCCCGAGAGACCAUGGAAUCUCAGGCCCGGCCAAAAACAGUAACAAAUUACCCUCUGGAACAUCAGUUGAGCAGAAUCUAUACCCGUGCAGUAUUCAGGAAAUACAAAGAAGCAUAUGUUUAUGGAACCUCUUUUCUUACAAAGAAAGUUUGCGCUGGUCGUUUCCUUGUGGUGUACGGUAGAGACGGGCCGACUUUUUCAUGGUCCCAACAUGAGUUCAAAGUGGUUUGUGAUGAAGAGAAAGAAGAAUACAAGUGUGAGUGCAAGCAGUGGGAGCACACAGGACUGCUAUGCCCACACCUUAUUAUAGUGAUGACAAAUGAGCAGAUUCAGAAACUUCCAAGCAAAUAUGUGUAUAGAAGGUACACAAGGAAUGCACGGAUUGACCCACCAUAUGACAGGAAUGACACUCUCCAGGUUGGAGCCGAUGGGACAUCAAAUAGUGGAAAGCACUUAAAUAUGCUCAGACUGGCUUAUGCCUGUGUUAGAGCGGGUGACAGAUCAACAGUUGGAUAUGAAAGAGUCAUUCAUGUGAUGACAGAACUUAGGGAUCAGGUUGAGGUACUUCCUCCUGAUGUCAUACCUGUGUUUGAUUAUGGAGGUUGCAGUGAUCCAGCUGACCGUGAGAUAGAUAAUUUUAAAGCACCGCCGAUUGCAAAAACGAAGGGUUGUAGAUCAGAAGAAGGGCGUAGGAUCGGCGCACCCGGGCCAAAGAAGUGCACAAGAAGAUGCAGCAAUUGCGGCCUUAUGGCAGGUCACAAUAGGGCGUCAUGCAAAAAACGAACAGAAAGCUUCGCAGUUGGUGGCAGCAGAGCAGCCCAGGGGAGGGGCAGGGGCAGGGGUAGGGGAAGGGGAACGGCAACUCGCCGCCGUUUGAUACAUGAUGAGGUGGACGAAGAUGAAGACUUAGAUUAUCAGGAAGAAGAUGAUCUGCUAGGUGAUGAAUAA